rnacentral:tRNA from 1 species
GGCACGGUGGUGCAGUGGGUAGCACCGUCGCCUCACAGCAAGGUACAGAGUUCAAAUCUCAGCCUGGGCCU